AUCAUAAGAAAAUAAAAUCAUAAAAAAUGAAGAUGAAAGUUAUUGCAGCGAUGAUGAUGAUAUUGGUCGUGGUUUUAUCGAUAAACCACCAACCAGCGAUGGCGGAUUACUACAAAUGCGCGGAUGAUUGCUUGCUCAAAUGUUCGUUGUCAACUUUUAACUCAUGCGCAGCAUGUUGUAUCAAAUUUUGCCACAAUAUUGGGAAUGUAAAAUGCACCAAGGAUCAACAGCAGAAACUACCCAGCGAAUUUGUACCAACAAAUACUUAAAAAUGGGUAUUGUCAAGCUACUCUCUCAUCACCAGAUGUAUCAUUAUCUUCUUGAAUAAAUUAUAAAUGGAGUUUGGCAGUGCGAUGGAUGUUCAUCGUUAUAUUUUUCUGUAAGUUUGUUGGAAAGUUAAUUUGUUGGUCACUGGAAUAAAUAACCCAAUACUUUUAAGGCCACAUCAUAACUAUUCCGUUGUUUUCCGUUAACUUUUGACGGAAUUAUGGGUUUUCAAUAAGUUUCAAAGCAAUUCUACAUAUUCGGAAAGAGCCCAAAACAGUACAGUGGACACAACUUAGGCCAUAAUUAAGUUACAAUAGUGGAUCUAGGUCAACUCUAUAGUUGAACCAUGUGGGAGCUCAUCCAGUUCUUCCAGUGACCGACCAAUUGACUCGAUGAAUAACCGUCCAAAUUCGAAUACUGCGACCCCAAUUAUGAGCAAGAUGUUGAGGACCCAGUACAACAAACCAUUAAUGAUCCAAUUCGACUCCCGGUCAAUUA
rnacentral:lncRNA from 1 species